UGGUUCAGGAUGAACGCUGGCGGCGUGCUCCCCCAUGAAGGUCAAACGAACCUUCGGGUUAGGGGCGGACGGGUGAGUAACGCGUGAAAAUCUGCCCUCAGGAGGGGCCUAACGGCUGGAAACGGCCGCUAAUACCCCAUAUGCCGAGAGGUGAAAUGAAUUUCGCCUGAGGAUGAGCUCGCGUCUGAUUAGCUAGUUGGGGGGGUAAAGGCCUACCAAGGCAUCGAUCAGUAGCUGGUCUGAGAGGAUGAUCAGCCACACUGGGACUGAGACACGGCCCAAACUCCUACGGGAGGCAGCAGUGGGGAAUUUUCCGCAAUGGGCGCAAGCCUGACGGAGCAACUCCGCGUGAGGGAUGAAGGCCUCUGGGCUGUAAACCUCUUUUAUCAAGGAAGAAAAUCUGACGGUACUUGAUGAAUAAGCCACGGCUAAUUCCGUG
rnacentral:rRNA from 1 species